CCUAACCUCCCGGACGACAGCAGCGCUGGCCAACAGCAGCAUCGAUCGCCGCUCCACCUCGCCCCGCCCCAGAAAAUCUCUCUCACCCUCGCCUCUGCUCUCUCCCUCUCGCUCCACCCCCUAACCUCCCUCUCCCUCGCCUUUGCUCUCUCCCUCUCGCCUCUCCCAUGGCCACCGCCGCCUCUCUGGAUUGGGUGUCUGGAGAAGAAGAUGAAACAGCGGCGGUGGAAGCCUGAGGCUCCUGCUAUCUGUCUGUUGCGGGUGUCGGCUGAAUCCAGGGAGGAGGGAGGAUGGAGAAUGUGUUGGCUGCAGUUGUUGUUGUUGUCGAUGGUGGUGGUGGCGGACGGCUGAUUCAUCGGAGAAGGAGGUGAUGGUGAAAAAAUGUUUAGUGAUUUGACAGAGAUUAGGGGUGUGUUCUGGUUGAAGGAUGGUUGGCAUGACAGAUAGAAAGGCGAGGGAGGUGAGGGUGGCUGAUGGUGGCGACUUCGCCGGAGGAUGAGAGGUAGGCAGGAAGUUUAGUGAUUUGACAGAGAUUAGGGGUGUGUUCUGGUUGAAGGAUGUUUGGCAUGACAGAUAGAAAGGCGAGGGAGGUGAGGGUGGCUGAUGGUGGCGACUUCGCCGGAGGAUGAGAGGUAGGCAGGAGCUUAGGGUUUUGUCAAUUUUUAGGGAUUUUCGUGAUUUGGAAAGUGAAAGGAG
rnacentral:lncRNA from 1 species